UACAGAGACCUCAAGCGUUAUCCGGAAUCAUUGGGCGUAAAGCGUUCCGAUAGGUGGUUAUGAUAGUCUUGGGUAAAAGCCAGAAGCUCAACUUCUGAGUUUGCUUAAGAUACUUCACAACUAGAGGGGCAAAGAGGUGCUUGGAACGAACGGUGUAGUAGUGAAAUGCGUUGAUAUCGUUCGGAACACCGAAAGCGAAAGGCAGAGCACUGGGUGCCACCUGACACUGCUAGGCACGAAAGCGUGGGGAGCGAAUGGG
rnacentral:rRNA from 1 species